rnacentral:lncRNA from 1 species
CCCCUUUGAGGAGUCGUGAUGCCUCCUCGCUCUCUCCUCCGUGUCAGCUCUCAGAGGCCUUCCGGCUGGGCCUCCAUCCAUCCGCCCUGCCUCUCCCACAGGGCUCCCUCCAGCCACACAGGACCCAUCUGCCUGGAGGGGCCUCCCUCCCUCCAGUUGACAACCCCCUACUCAUCCUCAAGGCCCAGCUCAAAGACCUUGUUCUCUGUGACGUCAUCAGCGACUGCGCAGAGGCCUGAAGGGGGUUGGAGCAAAGCCUGGAGUGCUGGUGGGAGUGGAUUCCUGGUAGAGGGGACGGCAGAACCUUCCAUGUCCCCCCACCGCUGUGUGGACCAUGAUUGAACACUUCCCACGCCAGGUCCCAUUUGACCCUGAAACAGUCACACAAGGUGAAGAAACUGAGGACCCGCCCUUCCCCACGAGGGCUCUCCAGUCCCCAGCCCGUCUCCUCUGCUGGGCAGCCCCCGCUGGUCCUUCAGGGCUCCGCAAGCGGCUCAGAGGUCACUCCCUCCUCACCAGGCAGCCGAUCUGCUUUCCCGGCCUCCCAGAAUCCGAGGUGCCUCCCUCUCGUCUCGUCACCUGGCUGUGGUCCUGGCGUGCGCCUCCUGCACCUGUCUGUGUCAGCACCCGCCGAGAUGGGGCCCAGUGUGGAGGGGGAGCGAUGGAUGAGGUACCACCUGGGACUCCUUCCCCGACAGCCUUCCCUGCGGGCAGGGACUCCUCCCGGGCUCCUUCUGGCGGACACCGUGACCACAGCGCGUGUCACUGCAGGGCAGGAGCGCAGCCCACGCGCCACUGCGUCCACGUGGAGGGAACGCAGGUGCCGAGGCUCUGAAGGCUUAACCAGGAAAACACAGGACUCCCAGCUCACUUCGAAUUUCAGAAAACAAAGAAUUACGACUUUCAGUAGAAGGAUGUCCCACGUUAGAUUUGGGAUAUAGUUAUACUAAAGAAUUAUUCUUUGCUUGCCUGAAACUCAAAUUUACCCAG